rnacentral:rRNA from 1 species
AUAACGACUCUCGGCAACGGAUAUCUCGGCUCUCGCAUCCAUGAAGAACGCAGCGAAAUGCGAUACCUGGUGUGAAUUGCAGAAUCCCGUGAAUCAUCGAGUCUUUGAACGCAAGUUGCGCCCGAGGCCAUUUGGUCUAGGGCACGCCUGCCUGGGUGUCACA